GUGAAGACUCCUCCCUGAUGCUAGGAUAAAGGCUGAUUUUGCUGUAGUUUCUAAACAGGAUGUGUAUUUUCCAAGUCACUCUUGUGGUUCACACACAUAAAUCAUUCAGGAUUUUACUGGGUGCACACAUUACACCAUAGAAUUAUCAUCAGAAAUGUUUUCAGGCCUACGAGGACAAGUCAGGGCUGUGUUGCGAGUGAAGCUGGCCAAACAAGAUCACAGAUCAAAUAUCUACAGCAAGCCACCCAAGGAAAAGAUCGGACCUGGGCAGACGGUGUUUACCAUGUCCAUCUUUGCCCUUGGUCUCCUGGUCCCUGCUGGUUGGAUCAUGUACCACAUCCCAGUAUACCGGCAAACACCACCUUCACGAGUCUGACCUUAUGGACCACCUACAUCACCCACCCUCUGCCACAUCACAUAGCUUUUUGUUUGCUGAAAUAAAAUGCAAUUUGUUACAUGUCAAAAUCUAAAUGCAAUAGUUCUGCAGUCGUACAAUUACUAUUGCAUCAUGUAAUUGUCACACUUAAUUAAAGAGUAAAGCAAAUGCAAAUAUGUACGGUCAUGGGAAAAAGAAAGUACACCCUCA